CCUACGGUGAGCAGCAGUGGGGAAUAUUGGGCAAUGGAGGAAACUCUGACCCAGCAACGCCGCGUGAAUGAUGAAGGUCUUCGGAUUGUAAAGUUCUUUUCUAAGGGAAGAAGAAAGUGACGGUACCUUCGGAAUAAGCCUCGGCUAACUACGUGCCAGCAUCCGCGGUAAUACGUAGGAUGCAAGCGUUAUCCGGAAUGACUGGGCGUAAAGGGUGCGUAGGUGGUUUGAUAAGUUGGUAGCGUAACUCCGAGGCUCAACCUCGGCACUACUACCAAAACUGUCGGACUUUAGUGCAGGGGGGGCAACUGGAAGUCCUAGUGUAGAGGGGGAAUGCGUAGAUAUUAGG
rnacentral:rRNA from 1 species